UACGUAGGGUGCGAGCGUUGUCCGGAAUUAUUGGGCGUAAAGGGCUCGUAGGCGGUUUGUCGCGUCGGGAGUGAAAACACUGGGCUUAACCCAGUGCUUGCUUUCGAUACGGGCAGACUAGAGGUAUGCAGGGGAGAACGGAAUUCCUGGUGUAGCGGUGAAAUGCGCAGAUAUCAGGAGGAACACCGGUGGCGAAGGCGGGUCUCUGGGCCGGAACUGACGCUAAGGAGCGAAAGCUAGGGGAGCAAACGGG
rnacentral:rRNA from 1 species